rnacentral:rRNA from 1 species
UACGGAGGGGGCUAGCGUUGUUCGGAAUUACUGGGCGUAAAGCGCACGUAGGCGGCUUUGUAAGUUAGAGGUGAAAGCCCGGAGCUUAACUCCGGAACUGCCUUUAAGACUGCAUCGCUUGAAUCAUGGAGAGGUUAGUGGAAUUCCGAGUGUAGAGGUGAAAUUCGUAGAUAUUCGGAAGAACACCAGUGGCGAAGGCGACUAACUGGACAUGUAUUGACGCUGAGGUGCGAAAAGCGUGGGGAGCAAACAGG